rnacentral:lncRNA from 1 species
UAAACUUUCCAAGUCCACCGCCAACACAACCCUGUGAUAGGCACUUGCGUUGUGUUGUCCUUCAAGCCUUCAACCCCAUUGCAUUGUGACUUGUCAAUUCUAACGGCGUUGUCUCUGGGUCUUUGUUUUGUGUUGCCAAACCAGAAGAGGUGAAGGCACCUGCUGAGGUUCCGUCGGUGGAAGACACAGCUGCCCUUCCCAGCAAGGCCCUUCCCCCGAAUCUGGAGAAGAAGACCAAGCCUUCGGCCAGCGCCGGGGCCAAACCUGCCGCAGUGAAAGCCAAGCCCAGGACGGUGGGUGCUCCCCCCACCAAGCGGCCGGCUUCAGCCACGGUGGGCCCAAGCAGAAAGGCCACCUCUGCGGCAGAGACCACAUCCAAACGCCCAUCAACUGGUGUCGCGCGAUGCUCCAGCUUAACUGCCCGAGAGGUUAAACCGAAGGCGACCGACGUUAAGAACCCAGAGAAGAAGGUCCCCCUUUCCAAGCCAAGUGCAAAGACCACCUUGGCCGCUGCCAGGUCGCCCAGCCCGAGGACUGCGGCUGGCUUGCCACCGAAGAAGUCCCUCCGUGAGUCACCCCGGGGAGGCUGGGAAAUUCUGAGGAGGGGGGGGGCCUUCUGUGGGUGAGGGGAUGGGAGGUGGGGCCGUCUCGGUGGGGCAUCGGAGGUUGAGGGAACUGC